rnacentral:rRNA from 1 species
AGAGUUUGAUCAUGGCUCAGAUUGAACGCUGGCGGCAGGCCUAACACAUGCAAGUCGAGCGGUAGAGAGAAGCUUGCUUCUCUUGAGAGCGGCAGACGGGUGAGUAAUGCCUAGGAAUCUGCCUGGUAGUGGGGGAUAACGUUCGGAAACGGACGCUAAUACCGCAUACGUCCUACGGGAGAAAGCAGGGGACCUUCGGGCCUUGCGCUAUCAGAUGAGCCUAGGUCGGAUUAGCUAGUUGGUGGGGUAAUGGCUCACCAAGGCGACGAUCCGUAACUGGUCUGAGAGGAUGAUCAGUCACACUGGAACUGAGACACGGUCCAGACUCCUACGGGAGGCAGCAGUGGGGAAUAUUGGACAAUGGGCGAAAGCCUGAUCCAGCCAUGCCGCGUGUGUGAAGAAGGUCUUCGGAUUGUAAAGCACUUUAAGUUGGGAGGAAGGGCCAUUACCUAAUACGUGAUGGUUUUGACGUUACCGACAGAAUAAGCACCGGCUAACUCUGUGCCAGCAGCCGCGGUAAUACAGAGGGUGCAAGCGUUAAUCGGAAUUACUGGGCGUAAAGCGCGCGUAGGUGGUUUGUUAAGUUGGAUGUGAAAUCCCCGGGCUCAACCUGGGAACUGCAUUCAAAACUGACUGACUAGAGUAUGGUAGAGGGUGGUGGAAUUUACCGUGUAGCGGUGAAAUGCGUAGAUAUAGGAAGGAACACCAGUGGCGAAGGCGACCACCUCGACUGCUAUGCACUGAGUUGGCACGUCG